AGGUUUUACUGAAGCAAAGGGAAGGGGUGAGGUUGCAGUUGUGUUUAGGGGACAGGUGAAAGCCAUUCUCAAUCUGUCUCACUAAUGGGAGUAUCAGAAAGGGUGGGAGCUCCUCAGGAGGAGAUAAAAGCAGGACAAGGUAAGGAGAGUUGAGAUGGCGUUGGAGGGAGGACAGGGAGUGAUGGAGAGUGUGGCAUAGGCAAUACAGAUGCUCUUAAGAGCUAUGAGAAAGAGGAAAAUGCCACCCAGGGAAUCUAUCCAGGUGGUUAUAAACUAGGAUUUAGAGGAACAGCUUGCAGUAUGCCAUGCUGGGACACUGGAAUCUGUUGUUGGAGACGAGACUGGCUCUUCCAUUAUGACCUCAUUGCCACACAUUCCAAGACUGCCUGAAAGUGGCUCACCUGAGUGUUGGACAGUAGCUGCUCAAGCAGCCUGCCUUUGCAGCAGACCCAACGCCUGGUUUACACAGCGCUGCACUCAGACCAAGGCUUUUCACCACCAUCUUCUUGUAUGCUUAACAGACCUAAAGCUUUCUGCUUCCCAGGGACCAUCUGGCUGGAGUAUAUCUGAUUAGAUAAAGUCCUGUAGCUCUACCAAGUUCAGGGUCAUUAAGUUAUUCCAAACAAACCUUCCUCUUGUGAUUUCAAUUGGACAUAACAGCAACCUUCACUUCCUGCCUGAAACUCUCUCAUUGAUAGUGUUGGUGGGACACCUGUUGUCCACGAAGGCCUCCCAGCAUCUAGAUACAACUCUUUCCCUUAGUCCUACAUGCAUCAAAGCACUCGUACAGCCCUCCCAUAUGUCUCGUAUACUGAGUUUUCUACUUGCGAGAGAACCUCCAUGUCCCUGGUGUGGGGAAAUGGAUGUAUAUCCACUGUCAUGGGGACUUCAUUUGAAGUUUUGCUUUGUGAGUUUUCUGGACUUGUGUGUUUUUCCUUGUCUGAUUUGCUCCUUUGCCUUUGCUCCUAAUCCCACCACCUGGUAUGGCUCACACUGCAGAAUCUCUCUGCCUCCUCAGUGUAUACGCCCUUCAAAUAUUUGCAGACAUUUAUCACUUCCCCCCCUCCCUGCUUAGUCAUCUCUCUGCCAAGCUAGACAUAUUUAGCUCUUCUAAUCUUUCCUUGCAACCGAGUCUCUCCAUCAGUCAUAAUUCAUUUCUCCUUGCUCUUCUUUGAAUACUUUCCAGUUUGUCAUCCUUAAAAAAAUUCUUAUUGGGGGUGU